GACGAACGCUGGCGGCGUGCCUAAUACAUGCAAGUUGAGCGCUGAAGGUUGGUACUUGUACCAACUGGAUGAGCAGCGAACGGGUGAGUAACGCGUGGGGAAUCUGCCUUUGAGCGGGGGACAACAUUUGGAAACGAAUGCUAAUACCGCAUAAAAACUUUAAACACAAGUUUUAAGUUUGAAAGAUGCAAUUGCAUCACUCAAAGAUGAUCCCGCGUUGUAUUAGCUAGUUGGUGAGGUAAAGGCUCACCAAGGCGAUGAUACAUAGCCGACCUGAGAGGGUGAUCGGCCACAUUGGGACUGAGACACGGCCCAAACUCCUACGGGAGGCAGCAGUAGGGAAUCUUCGGCGAUGGACGAAAGUCUGACCGAGCAACGCCGCGUGAGUGAAGAAGGUUUUCGGAUCGUAAAACUCGGUUGGUAGAGAAGAACGUUGGUGAGAGUGGAAAGCUCAUCAAGUGACGGUAACUACCCAGAAAGGGACGGCUAACUACGUG
rnacentral:rRNA from 1 species